UCAUUCACUUCUGUUUCAUUUAUCAGCUCCUUAUUUUGUUUGCUUAGAAUAUGUAUGUUUCUUUGUACUUUAAAACAAACGAUCGUUAAGAAUUUAAGACUGCUUGUCAUUCCUGAGUUCCAGAAGAACCCGCAGGAUCAGAAAAUAAACAGAAAUCCAACAAUGGCUAUACUUCCAUUGGAGGCAGUUCAGACGUUGAACUAAGUUGUUUCUUGGAAUUAAACACUACGUUGGGUUGAGCAGAUGUUCCAGGAUUGAGAGAAGAGCCAAUGAAAUAGCAUCUGCUGUUGACCGGUUGUGACCAUAGGCAAGUUGGAUCGGAUCCAAGUCACUUCUCAGUUGGGAGUUGAUAUGUUUUGUCACCAACCUCUCAAGGCAACUUUCAUCAGAGUGGAUUUGGCAAUCGGAAAAAGCAGAAGUUGAUGUGGGAACGACAAGAAGAGCUGGAAUGACAUGUCAUUGAUAGCUCAAGAUGGAAAUUUGCAGGUAGACUGCAGUCACCUGUAGUUGCCUCGUCAAAACUUACAGAUGCAGAUUACAUCUUGCAGAUGCAGAGUUCACAUUGUAAUCACUGAAUGCCACAUACUAGGCUGGAGAGGAUGCCUGCAAUUUUUUGCCAUACCUAUAAUCUUUGUACCAAAUAAGUAAUCGUCAUAUUUCUGUACACACAA